GACGAACGCCGGCGGCGUGCUUAACACAUGCAAGUCGAACGGAGCGAAUGAAAGCUUGCUUUUAUGAGCUUAGUGGCAAACGGGUGAGUAACACGUAGGCAACCUGCCGACAGGAUGGGGACAACAUUCCGAAAGGAAUGCUAAUACCGAAUGAAGUCAGAGAAGGGCAUCCUUUUCUGAUGAAAGAUGGCCUCUGAAUAUGCUAUCACCUGUCGAUGGGCCUGCGUCUGAUUAGCUAGUAGGUGAGGUAACGGCUCACCUAGGCGACGAUCAGUAGCCGGUCUGAGAGGAUGAACGGCCACAUUGGGACUGAGACACGGCCCAGACUCCUACGGGAGGCAGCAGUGGGGAAUCUUCCGCAAUGGGCGCAAGCCUGACGGAGCAACGCCGCGUGAGUGAAGAAGGUCUUCGGAUGUAAAGCUCUGUUGAGGGGACGAAUGUGCCUGAUGCGAAUAGUGUCC
rnacentral:rRNA from 1 species